GGGGAGGAGUCCCGUAAUAGCAGAAAGUGGAGAGGGAAUGGGGACCCGGAGGAUGAAGAUCGAGUUCCCGGGAAGUGGGCGACCCAGCGGGCGGAGGCUGGGGUCUCUGGGGACGGGGUCCAGGUGCUGACGGUCCCCUCCUUCCCGGCAGUGUCGCUCUGGAAGCCGAGUUGGGUCCCCAGCGCAGAGGGUCGCGCCCCCGACCCCGCUCAGGGUCCCGAUCCAGGGCCAGCCCCCGCUCGCGCUCUCGCCCUGGGCCGUCCAAGGGUUGCCGGCGGCCGCCGCGGCGAGAAGGAUGAGUCCCUCCCCAGCAGGAUGGGGCUCCGGGCCAGGAGGACAGGUACUGUGGGGACGCAGCGGGGACGGUGUGAAGACGCCCAGUGCCGGAUGAGAUGCCCAGUUCACACCGUCCGCGCUCAGAACCGGGAGACCCAGGCACCGGACCACCUGAUGUCUGGUCGACAGGUGGGGAAACUGAGCCCGUUCGGUCACGUGGUGAAAUAAGGACCUGACCGAGUUCUCUAACCCACAAUGUGACCUGCAUCCCACAAACAAGGGAACUGGAGGUCCAGCCCUAACUCAGGAGUGACCUCUCUAGGCUUCACUUUAUACUGCUUGCAAAACAAGUGACUUUCCAGUCAGUUUUGAUAACAAAAACUGACAAUUAUGGCCCUUCCCCCUGCGAGAUGGAACUUUAAUAGAGAACCAAAUAACCCCUAGUACUUAUGGAUCAAAUGAGAAAUGUUAUGAAUUCUGGAAAAAAGUCAUCAGAAUCAGAGCCAAGGUGAGGGUGUCCACUAUCGAGUAUUUAAUAUCAUUCUGGAGGUACCAGCCAAUGCAAUUAGACAAGGCAAAGAAAUAAGAGGUAUGAACACAGGAGAAAGAGGAUUUGUAGGUUGAAUCAUAUGAAAGUGUUCUUUCUAUAGGUCAGAGGUUACAGAAAUGUCGACAAUUUGAUAUGGCCUUAAUUUCACAUUAUUUGUAGUUUUUAGAUUUACAUUUAUUUUUUUAUUUUUAAAAUGUUUGCCUUUUCAUCUAAAUUUAACCUAAUUCAACAUUAGGUAUUAAUUCAGGCUAAUGGAAAAAAUUGGAAGUCCCCUCCAUUUGGAUUUGUUUGCUGCCUCCUCAUUAUUGGAUUCAGGUUAGAAUUUUGGGUAGGAUCAUCCCCAACAUGAUUCAAUCUAUUAGUUAUUUUCUGGUCAUAUAAUUUUAUAUAUAGAAAACCCCGGAGAAUGGACUGAAACUUACUUUUUUGUUUGUAAGCAAUUAGUUAGACAAUCCUUUGGAAGGGGAAAAAAAAAAGGUCCCAUUUCAGAUCUUUUUUAAAAAAGGUUUUUUGGAGGCUGGGGCUGGGGCUCAGUGGCAGAGCACUUGCCUAGCAUGUGUGAGACUCUGGGUUUGAUCCUCAGCACCACAUGAAAAUAAAUAAAUAAAAUAAAGGUAUAAAAAGGCAAAACAAAACAAAAAAAAGGGUUUUUUUUCUUGUUUGUUUAUUUUUUUGUGAUGCUGGGGAUUGAACCCAGGGCCUUGUGCAUGUGAGGCAAGCACUCUACCAACUGAGCUAUAUUCCCAACCCCCCCAAAAUGUUUUGAAUUGUAAAAUAUACAUAAUACAAAAUCAACCAUAUUACCCUUUAUCCACCCCCCCCAGUUUUUUGUGGUGCUGGAAAUGGAACCUAGGGCUAUGCACAUGGUAGAUAGGCAGAGCUCUACCACUGAGCCUCACCCCCAGCCCUGUGUUAACCAUUAUUGUUUGUAUAAUUCAUUGGCAUCAACUAUACAUUCACAAUAUUGUAUAACCAUCAUCACUCUCUAUUUCCAUUAUCCCAUUAACUCUCCCAUUAAACAAUUACUCCCCCCCAGCCCCUACUAACAUCUGUCUCCUUUCUGUCCCUAUGAACUUGCCUAUUCUACUUAUUUCAUAAAAGUGAAAUCAGACAAUAUUUGCUCUUUGUGUCAGUUGUUUUUCUCAGUAUAAUGUUUUCAAAGUUCAUUUGGGUUGCAAUAUGCAUAUAUCAGAAUUUUAUUCCUUUUAAUGACUACAUAAUAUCCCAUUAUAUGUGUAUAACAUGUUUGGGGGUUUUGUUAUUUUAUUUUAUAUUUAUUUUGUAGGUCUCACUAUGCCCAGGCUGUCCUUGAACUCCAGGGUUCAAAUGAUCUUCCUGCCUCAGCCUCCAAGUAGCUGGGACUACAGGCCCAUUAUAUCACCAUGCUUGGCUGUGUGGUCCCUUUAGUUUUUUCUACCUUGUAGUUUUGCAAAGAUUAAAAAAAAAAUCCCCAAAAUAAAAAGUUGAAUACACUGAGUUGGCACUGAUGCGGAGAAAGAAACAGUCCCACACUGUGCUGGUGGGACUGCCUGUCAGUACAGUUGUUUUGGAAAACAGUUUUCUAGGCUCUCACAAAAUUAAAGGUGCAAGCUGGGUGUAAGGAUGCACACCUGUCAUCCCAGUGACUGGAGUCUGAGACAGGAGGAUCACAAGUUCGAGGCCAGCCUCAGCAACUUAGUGAGGCCCUAAGCAAUGUAGUGAGACCCUGUCUCAAAAUAAAACGUAAAAAAGGACUGGGAAUGUGGCUCAAUGGGUAGGCACCCCUGGGUUCAAUCCCUAGUACAGAAAGAAAGAAAGAGAGAGAGAGAGAGAGAGAGAGAAAGAAAGAACCUAAAAAUGCAUAUACCCUUGACCCAUCAAUUCCCUUCUAGGAGUUUUCCUACAGUCAUGUUUAUAUGAGUAUAAAAUGAUGGGCUUAGUGUCGGGCAGAAUCCUGUGGGCUCAUGCACACAAAGUGUUAAGUUUUGCUGUGAGAAAGUAUGAACUCUUUGAACUGUGUCCUUGUUGCUGUCUUAAGAAGAGAAAAGAAUGUUCUGCCAAGUGUAAAAUUUAUAUAUAUAUGUAUGUGUUUGCCUGGGAAUAACUAACCACAAGUUAAUUGAUAAGAAAUACGGAGCACUGUGGCCAUAAACAAAGUUUUCCUGAGAAUGUUUAUCCAUGCCUGUAAGGAUUGAGCUGACGAAAGGAUGUUUCUUCUUGUCCUUUGUCUUAAUUAGCAAUGCUGUAUAAAAGAAGGAGAGAGAAAAGUAAAGACGGUGCUCAUUUCUAC
rnacentral:lncRNA from 1 species